AGCAGCCGCGGUAAUUCCAGCUCCAAUAGCGUAUAUUAAAGUUGUUGCAGUUAAAAAGCUCGUAGUUGAAUUUCAGGCCUGGCUGGACGGUCCGCCCUCUGGGUGAGCACUGUCUGUGGUCGGGUCCUACCUUCUGGCGAAGCGGCAUGGCCUUAACCGGCCGUGGCGGGGAACCAGGACUUUUACUGUGAAAAAAUUGAGUGUUCAAAGCAGGCACGCGCUUGAAUACAUUAGCAUGGAAUAAUGGAAUAGGACAAUGGUUCUAUUUGUUGGUUUCUAGGGACCGUUGUAAUGAUUUAAUAGGGAUAGUUGGGGGCAUUAGUAUUCAAUUGUCAGAGGUGAAAUUCUUGGAUUUAUUGAAGUACUAACUACUGCGAAAGCAUUUGCCAAGGAUGUUUCAUUAAUCAAGAACGAAGUUAGGGAUACGAAGACGAUCAGAUACCGUCGUAGUCUUAACCAUAAACUAUAGACCGACUAGGGAUCGGAUGAUGUUAAUUUUUAUGUACUCAUUCGGCGUACC
rnacentral:rRNA from 1 species